rnacentral:pre_miRNA from 1 species
AAUAAAUAUAAUUUUACACUGUUCAUAUUUAAUGUUUGACCAUUUGUUUUAUUUGAUAAUCUUUUAUAAUUAAUAUUUUUAUUGUUAUUAGAUAAUAAAACAUGAAUGGUACUUUAUGCGUGACUACUUUUUCUAAUUUUUCAAAUAAGAUGAACGGUCAAACGUUGGACACAGAUACCAACGGCUGCACUUAUU